GGGCGAUUAGUGUAGUGGUUAGCACAUCAGUCUUCGACGAUGGAUAGCUGUUGGGGUCGGUUCGAACCCGGCAUCGCCCU